UUUGAAGAUUGGAGACCACUAGGGUGAUCCUUGUUGUGAGCUCUUCACUUUUGUCCGAUCAAUUUCUCUUCUCCAAUUGAGUUAAGUUGUUCACUCUAUUAGCUUGAAGGGGGAUUAGUACUUCUUGAACUAUAUAAGUUAGAAGAGGAAGUAAUAGCUGGACUCGUCAAAGAGGAAGAAGAUGCAACUAUAUAGUUAAUGUUUGGAAAUUCUUGUGUACAUAUAUCUUUUGAAAAACUCUAGUUCAUCAACUUUGUUAUGUGUAAAUAUGUAUUUUAGUAUCUCUUGUAUGGAUAAGUGUAGUACACUAGUUACAUCAGUAUUCUAUGCUUUAUUAUAUUUAUUAGU